GUGGGGAAUUUUGGACAAUGGGCGCAAGCCUGAUCCAGCAAUGCCGCGUGCAGGAAGAAGGCCUUCGGGUUGUAAACUGCUUUUGUACGGAACGAAACGGUCCUGGUUAAUACCUGGGGCUAAUGACGGUACCGUAAGAAUAAGCACCGGCUAACUACGUGCCAGCAGCCGCGGUAAUACGUAGGGUGCAAGCGGUAAUCGGAAUUACUGGGCGUAAAGCGUGCGCAGGCGGUUUUGUAAGACAGGCGUGAAAUACCCGGGCUCAACCUGGGAAUUGCGCUUGUGACUGCAAGGCUGGAGUGCGGCAGAGGGGGAGGGAAUUCCGCGUGUAGCAGUGAGAUGCGUAGAUAUGCGGAGGAACACCGAUGGCGAAGGCAAUCCCCUGGGCCUGCACUGACGCUCAUGCACGAAAGCGUGGGGAGCAAACAGGAUUAGAAACCCUGGUAGUCC
rnacentral:rRNA from 1 species